rnacentral:lncRNA from 1 species
UGCUGACUACGACAUUGAUAUUAUAUGACCAUCCACUUUAAAAUGUUCUAUUUUUAGAGUUAAUUCAAUUUUUAAUGUUAUUUAUUUUAUUAGUUCCAUUUCACUGUUAAUAAAUAAUUCCUUUUAAUUCUUAUUUUCAAAAUUUACUUGACUUUAUCCCUCGUUCAAAUUGAUUUAAUAAUAAUAUUAAAAUUUAUAAUUUG